AAAAAUGAAUCUAUUUCUAUUAAUUAUGCUAAUAAAUUUAACAUGAAUGAUGUUAUUAGUCCCCUACUGGUUGAAAACCAGUUUCGGGGACUAUAGGAAUGCACUUUUCCGUCAUUCCGUCUGUCCGUCCGUCUGUCCGUCCGUCCGUCCGUCUGUCCGUCCGCUCUCCCUCAACUGACGUUGUGGGGUGAAUUGAACGUACGGAUAACACUUGCGGGGUUUUUGGUUGCUUACGGGGUGCACCCCAUAUGCAACCCAUUGCAAACGUGUCCAUGGUUCCUAAAACCCCGGAAAAAAUGCCUUCCAGUUUUGCACCCCACAAACAGCGGACACUACUGGCCGUCCGUUUUCUAUGGACGAUAUCAUAAAUAUUACAGAUUACAUUGAUGAAAAUCUAUAAUUAGAUAUGAGACGUGCGCAUUCGCACUAGCAGUAAAGGUGAGCGCGCGCACCCAAGUACAAUUCACUUCCGUUGGUAGUAACGCGUAAUGGCGGACUUACAGGGAAAUUGAGGUAAUUAUUUUUCUUUUUACGCUUUGUGUAUUCAGUAAAUUUCUCGAUUUUUUUCGGGAAUGGAAAUUAUGAAGUACCAAUACCAUCAAGAACCUUAAGGUUAAUAUCUUCUGUGACUAUGAACACCCAAAGUGAGUUGAAUGUCAAAGCAUGUAUAGCGUCCGACGAUUCGGACCAAGGACUUUUCGUACCAUUUUUAUGUGGAGGUUCCGUACCGAAGAGGUUACAUAUUACUUAAUAUUUGUAUCAGAUGUUAAGGUUUUAUUUCAAUUAAAAGCGUCAAACCCCUUUUAUCUUUAUAAGAGAAGCGUAACACAACGUUUGAACACAUCAUUACUGGAAGCCUCAUUUUGAAGUCUGCCAUUGUUUACUUCCGGUGAACCGGGUGAUAAUUUUUUGCACUAAAUAUGGACAUGUUAGGGAAUUUCAUCUUUAUUUUUGUGCUUUUGACGAUCCUAAAAGCAUAGAGAGUUACAUCUACCAGGAUGAAAAUGUAUCAAAUGGUAACAGUAGCAAUAACCACAGGAAAGAUAACUCUUGCAAAGCCUUGUUUCAGGACUCAAAAACAUGUGUCCACAAAAGAAUUGAAAUCCUCGUGUUCAUUUUUCAAACCUAUCCUAUCCUGUACAUGGGGGUAUUUAAAAUACUAUAUGACUUUCAAGACUUAAAAAUGUGCAGAUUAGAAAUCAUACACUGUUUUCCAAAGCAAAAGUACAUGUAUUUGAAUUGGGCUAAAUUUUCAGUCAUACUUUUUUAGUGAAUGGCUUCGUCAUUUUUCUAAAUAAACUAGGGAAAUGUUCAUAGUGGAUGUAGUGGAUGAAUUAGUCAUAUUAAGAUCAAUCAAAUACAUGUAGCAGAAAAAAAUGCAAUUAACUGUGGACACUUUUGCACAAAAAACCUGAAAAAGUUGUUAUGUGUCAAAAUCUAGGAGUCUAGGACAUGACUUUAACACCAUAUAAUACUUUAUCAGUAAUAUUUACAUUCAAAAACACAAUUGAUUUGUCAUUCAUACACAUAUUAGAGUCCAAAAACAUUAUUUUAUGCCUGUAAAUCAAAACUAACAAAAAGUGAUGGUUGUUGCUAGUAACGGACAAUGUUUCAUUAGGCCUGUAAUUUACAGAUAUAGGCUGAAUCGGACAAUGGCAGAUUCGGCCCAAAUUUACUUGGCUUAUUCGGCACAAAUUGUUCCUGACACUAAUAUCAUUAGUAAAAAUAACAUUUUAAUAUGAGUAUUAAAUUUAAUUUCUGCAAAGAAUAAUUAAAUUGCUUUUUGCUUUUUAAGUGCAUAACUGAUGCAUUUUAGCCAGUUAAAGCUUCUUACCUGCUUGUACGGUGUAUAUUCUAUAACAUAAACUACUUCAAGUUAAAUCCCUUUAAUCAGCAUUAUUUCCAGAACAUUGCCAGUCAUCCAAAAUAUAUGGUCCUUACUGACUCCUAGUCGUAAAUCAAAGUUUGUGGUCCACAUCAGCCGAAAUAUAUAGUCAUUUUCUACUUUUAUUUAAAGCAUUUGGUCUAAAUUAGCCAAAAUUUAUGGUCCGAAUCAGCCUGUUUCCGUAAAGACUUUUGUGACAACAAGUUUGCAGUGAAGGCAACAAUGUCAAUGAAAAAGCGUCCAGUUUUUUUGUGCCGACUUAUUCUACUUUUUAUAUGUUAUUUCUGGCUGAAUUUUGUGCACAAGAACCUAAACCUGCAGUGUGUGGUGGCUACUUGUUGUAAAAUGGACAACAAACCCCACACUGUUUCUAACUUGAUGCAGUGUUGUGAAAAAAAAAGACAUUCACUGUUUAAAACUUAGCAGAGUAUUCAUGUAGUCAGGCCACAAAAAAACCCACAAAGUUGCAUCCAGGUAAAACCCGCAACUGAAUUGCUUCGCAAGAUGGUCAAACUAAAUCCAUAAUGAAAAAACAAGUAAAAUGACCAUAGACCCAUACCUUAACAUGAUGCAGUGUUAGGUAUUCCUUUAUGGUACUCACACACAUUUCACGUUAUUUUAAACAUGCAGUAUGUUGGAGAAUUGUUAUGCAAUUGCUGCAAUGAAUUAUUUCCAAAAUCAGGCAAUUGGUCUGUUGAACUGUAACAUACUUUUCCAUUGCUAGCUCAAAUGCUCACUAGCAUAUACAAUGUCAUUUUUUUGUAUAAAAGUUUAACAAUUUGCAUUUAUUAUUACAAACUUCAGAGCUUUUGAAGAAGAAAAGGCUGAAUUCCACCUAAGAGACGUUCUUGUGUGAUAUAGACUGGGCACUGGCCUAUUGGUCACCAGCAUAUACCAAGUAUAAUACCUGAAGGUUCUAAGACUGGGGUGAAGUUUAAUACCAAUUGAGCUGUAAGGAAAGAGGUUGGAAUCAAAGUCCUUGUCUGUUGGCAACUACAGAUAUAGCAGAACCAGAUUAAACACAGGAAAUGGCUGCUCAAGAUAGCAUUUAACCAAAUGAGCUGAUUUAAUUGCUCAUGGAGUCAGAACACAUGGCUCAAAUGGAACAAGAGGAACAUACCCUGUAGAUGAAAACAUCGCGAGAAUUCAUCAAAAACAAGACAAAAAUGGAGUCAGAAUGAGGAUGAGGAAAUAAGAAAAAUAUUUCAUAAAUGUUUCCUUACAAGAAAAUGUCCAACAGCUCAUCAUUGUCUUAAAGCUAUAAAUUUAAGCAGGAAGAACAACUGUUGCAUUUGUAAACGUAAGAAGGAUGUCCUUAAAAAAGAAGUCAUAUUGAAGGAUUGACAGCUUAAGUGAUUAACAUUUAUGUAGUAGACAGCGACUGGGAAACCCAUGAGACAUGAACCAUAGUCACAUAAAAAUAAAAAAAAAUGUCACAUAAGUUUUAAGUGCUGAUGAGCCCUGUGUCACAUGGCUAAACUGUAUUGAAUGCAAAAGAAUGAAACUAUUUAAUAGUGCAAAUUUUAUGUAAAGGAAUGUAACCAAAUUCAGUGUUUAAAGACAUGUGUUAACAUCUAUAGUAUUUUAUUCUAGACUUUGAUUUUUGUCAGUUUUCAAUAUUUGUCCCCAAGUAAGAGGAAAUUGUUGCUAGUAAAAAGGCAAAAAAGAAACCUUUAAGUUUAAGUUUUACAAAUAUCAACAAUAAUGAGGAAUUGACUUGCGAUGAAAAUAACAACACCCGUUUUUAAACAUAUUUAAAAUAAUUGUUCAUAGAAGUAACGGUACACUUAGGCUGCUUCUUCUUCCAAAGUAUUAAAUGUUGACAAUGUUUACUUUUAUCACAUACAGGCACAUUGCUGUAAAUUUUUUUAAAGAAUGUUAUCCAGGGUAUGAUUAGACCAUUGUUCGGAAGACUUACAUUUAUUAUCAGUGGUAUAAAGGAGUACUGUUCAGUUCUACCAGGAAAGUAGAGUAAAAUAAAUGCUUUGAAUAUUAUUGACAUUAAAGCUGUUGAGCUGUUACAGUUUUA